rnacentral:rRNA from 1 species
UGAACCUACAUGUGUAGGAUAGGUGGGAGGCUAUGAAGACGUGACGCCAGUUGCGUUGGAGCCGUCCUUGAAAUACCACCCUUGUAUGUUUGAUGUUCUAACUUAGCCCCAUUAUCUGGGGUGAGGACAGUGCCUGGUGGGUAGUUUGACUGGGGCGGUCUCCUCCCAAAGAGUAACGGAGGAGCACGAAGGUGGGCUAAUCACGGUUGGACAUCGUGAGGUU